rnacentral:rRNA from 1 species
CAGGGAAUCUUGCACAAUGGGCGAAAGCCUGAUGCAGCGACGCCGCGUGGGGGAUGAAGGCCUUAGGGUCGUAAACCCCUUUCAGCAGGGACGAAAAUGACGGUACCUGCAGAAGAAGCCCCGGCCAACUACGUGCCAGCAGCCGCGGUAAGACGUAGGGGGCGAGCGUUGUCCGGAUUUAUUGGGCGUAAAGAGCUCGUAGGCGGUUGCGUAAGUCGGAUGUGAAAACUCAGGGCUCAACCCUGAGACGCCAUCCGAUACUGCGCUGACUUGAAUCCAGUAGGGGAGUGUGGAAUUCCUGGUGUAGCGGUGAAAUGCGCAGAUAUCAGGAGGAACACCCAUGGCGAAGGCAGCACUCUGGGCUGGUAUUGACGCUGAGGAGCGAAAGCAUGGGUAGCGAACAGGAUUAGAU